CAGUAGCCGCGGUAAUACGAGGGGUGCAAGCGUUAUUCGGAUUGAUUGGGUGUAAAGGGUGUGCAGACGGCUUAUUAAGUCACUUGUUAAAUUCUUCGGCCUAACUGCAGGUCUGCAAGUGAUACUGAUGAGCUAGAGGGUGGAAGAGAGAAGUGGAAUUCUCGGAGUAGCGGUAAAAUGCGUAGAUCUCGAGAGGAACACCAAUGGCGAAGGCAGCUUCUUGGUCCAUUCCUGACGUUCAUACACGAAAGCGUGGGGAGCAAACAGGAUUAGAUACCCGGGUAGUCCCUGUCUCUUAUAA
rnacentral:rRNA from 1 species